rnacentral:rRNA from 1 species
UACACAUGCAGUCGAACGAUGAACCCCGCUUGCGGGGGGAUUAGUGGCGAACGGGUGAGUAACACGUGAGUAACCUGCCCUUAACUCUGGGAUAAGCCUUGGAAACGGGGUCUAAUACUGGAUAUUGACUUUUCCUCGCAUGGGGAUUGGUUGAAAGAUUUAUUGGUUUUGGAUGGACUCGCGGCCUAUCAGCUUGUUGGUGAGGUAAUGGCUCACCAAGGCGACGACGGGUAGCCGGCCUGAGAGGGUGACCGGCCACACUGGGACUGAGACACGGCCCAGACUCCUACGGGAGGCAGCAGUGGGGAAUAUUGCACAAUGGGCGAAAGCCUGAUGCAGCGACGCCGCGUGAGGGAUGACGGCCUUCGGGUUGUAAACCUCUUUCAGUAGGGAACAAGGCCAGUGUUUAGCUGGUUGAGGGUACUUGCAGAAGAAGCGCCGGCUAACUACGUGCCAGCAGCCGCGGUAAUACGUAGGGCGCAAGCGUUAUCCGGAAUUAUUGGGCGUAAAGAGCUCGUAGGCGGUUUGUCGCGUCUGCCGUGAAAGUCCGGGGCUCAACCCCGGAUCUGCGGUGGGUACGGGCAGACUAGAGUGAUGUAGGGGAGACUGGAAUUCCUGGUGUAGCGGUGAAAUGCGCAGAUAUCAGGAGGAACACCGAUGGCGAAGGCAGGUCUCUGGGCA